rnacentral:rRNA from 1 species
AUAAUAAUUAGUCCUUUAAUUGGGGGCUAGAAUGAAAGAUUGGACGAGAUAAGUGCUGUCUCAUUAAAAUUAUUUUUUAAUUUAAUUUUUAAGUAAAAAAGCUUAGAUGUUAUUAUGGGACGAGAAGACCCUAUAGAGUUUUAUAUUUUAUUUAAAUUUUUUAUAAAAUUUUAAAAAAUUAAUUUAAUUUAUUUUAUUGGGGCGAUAAAAAAAUUAAAUAAACUUUUUAUUUAAAUAAACAUAGAUUAAUGAUAUUUUGAUCCUAAAUUUUAGAUUAUUAGAUUAAGUUACCUUAGGGAUAACAGCGUUAUUUUUUUUAGAAGUUCAUAUUAAUAAAGAAGAUUGC